rnacentral:tRNA from 1 species
GAGAGUAUAGUUUAAUUGGUAAAACUUCGUCCUUCCAAGUCGAUAUCCUCGGUUCGAUUCCGUGUACUCUCUCCA